rnacentral:rRNA from 1 species
UACGUAGGGUGCGAGCGUUUGUCCGGAAUUAUUGGGCGUAAAGGGCUCGUAGGCGGUUUGUCGCGUCGGGAGUGAAAACUCAGGGCUUAACCCUGAGCCUGCUUCCGAUACGGGCAGGACUAGAGGUAUGCAGGGGAGAACGGAAUCCUGGUGUAGCGGUGAAAUGCGCAGAUAUCAGGAGGAACAUCGGUGGCGAAGGCGGUUCUCUGGGCAUUACCUGACGUGAGGAGCGAAAGUGUGGGGAGCGAACAGG